AAGAAGACAGAAGAGUUCAAGAAAGCAGAGACUAAUAAGCCUGUUCUCAGCAAAGUUAAGACGCCUGACCCCAAGAAAAGAAAAGCUGAAUUUUUGUCAAUACAUGUGCAUCCUAAUGGAGAAGCCCUGGUGCCUCCGGUGCACAUCAAGAUGCCCAAAUAUGCAAC